rnacentral:rRNA from 1 species
AGAAUAACUGUUGGAAACGACAGCUAAUACUCCAUAAGCUGGGAAACCAGGAAAGAUUUAUCGCCAAAGGAGGAGCCGCGUCAGAUUAGGUAGUUGGUGGGGUAAAGGCCUACCAGGCCUGUGAUCUGUAGCUGGUCUGAGAGGAUGACCAGCCACACUGGGACUGAGACACGGCCCAGACUCCUACGGGAGGCAGCAGUGGGGAAUAUUGGACAAUGGGGGAACCCUGAUCCAGCAAUGCCGCGUGAGUGAAGAAGGCCUUCGGGUUGUAAAGCUCUUUCGCCUGUGAAGAUAAUGACGGUAACAGGAUAAGAAGUCCCGGCUAACUCCGUGC